UAUUCUUCAAAAGAAAGUUGACAAAAGCUAUUAUUGCCCUGUUGUCCCUUAAUGUUUCGUCUGUGAUCGAAGCUGCGAUUAUAACGUCAUUCAGAUGACAAACCCUCUCAUAUUAUAAAAAUAUCUGAACCUCGAUUCAAAUACUGGAUGCUACAUAUUCAUAAAAUACGUCCAUAUUAUUAAAACGUAUAAUUCGCUCUUAAAAAUCCCUAACUUAUUCUCAAACAUAAAAGCUUAAAUCAUUUUGUCAGACUCCAGUACAACUCUCAGGGGUACAAUUCAGAUCAUAACUGAAGGUGUUAAUAUCCUUUUAACUAUAAAUCAUCUUUUAAAGUUUUUUAAAUUUUUUGAACAAAUAUAUUUUUUUGACAUGAAUUAUUUUGUGUAAAGCAAAACCAGUGAGAAAGAAUUUCAACUGUUUUGAUCUUCAUUGUGUAAAUAUACCACAGUUUAUAUUUCAUGACCCUCAACAUAUAAUAAUAAUUAUUUCACAAGACUUUCUUUAAACUGUGGCUAUGACACCAAAACCUCCUUUUAUUAACAGUUCAAUUCGUAUGCAGUAUCUAUUACAUAUCUUAUACAUUAUCAACAAAAAUUUCCAAGUAAAGCUGUGUCAGAUGACUAAUAAUCCAUGAAAUAUAAUUCACGCCGCCAAUGCUAUUCAGUAUUCUCCCUAUUUUUAUGUGAUGCACACAACACUCUCAGUAUAUAAUGUCAUUGUCUGAAGAAGCUAGGAUCGAGAUGUUAGGUAGAAAGCUACUUGACAAACAAAUGACGAUUAUUGCAAUCUACAACAUGUUGCCUGUGCCUGCCUCAAAGACAACAGACAGCUGACUGAUACUAACGCACUGGAGAAAUAGACGAGCUUAAAACUUAAUGUUCUACUGCUUCAAGUGAGCAAGCAAAGGAAGGUUAGAAGAUGUGAAGCGGAAUGCAUUAAAACGUCUCAAAGAAUAAAUGAUCACAAUUGUACUGUGUGUCCCACGUCAUUUGUCCUAGCUGUUUUGUGAAUAAUUUUGGAUGCAUAAAACAGUGCAGAAAUUGUGGACUGGCUUUGACUUCGGGAACAGGCAUGACGAUUAAAAUCCUCAAUAGCAUCUUCCGUCAUUAGAAUAAUGUCGUAAGUGACAUCGGGUUCCUUAAACUCAGAGCUACAGUGUGUCUAUACGGGCAACAGAAAGAAGAAAGACAGAAAAGGAAUAGAUAUUGCUCAACACUCCCUCCACUGUUGGCAAGGCUCCUAGGUUCUUGAAUCUCCAGAUUCAGAGGAUCUUGCUGAUUGAGGCUGAUGGAGGUCUGAACCCUACACCAAGAUUCUUCAUUCGAUCUCCAGGAUGGUGAAGCCAACUUACAGCGCUCUCAAAUAUGUCCAUCUCUGAACUCACAUUGAGCCUAUCAUUGGACAAAAUCAUGCAGACUGUGUCCACAUCCAAGCCGUAGAAAGAGUUUCAGCAUGUCUUGGUGACCAAGAGAGGAGAUUUUCUGCAAACACAACUGUGUGAUUUGCUGCACUUCAAACAUCCGAGAGAGAUCAAGCACCUCAUGCAGACAAUCAGACUUAAUGAAAUUGAUAUUACCCGA